CCUGGUGGUUAUGGCGGAGCGGCUGCACCCGAUCCCAUUCCGAACUCGGCCGUGAAACGCUCCAGCGCUGAUGGUAC
rnacentral:rRNA from 1 species